rnacentral:misc_RNA from 1 species
AAGACUAUAGACCUGCGGAGUACCUGCGGAGGGAUCAUUAUUGAAUAAACUUGGUCAAGCUGUUGCUGGUCCUUCGGGGCAUGUGCACGUUUGCCACCAAUUUUAACCACCUGUGCACCUUUUGUAGAUUGGAAACGUUUCUCGAGGCAACUCGGAUUUGAGGACUGCUGUGCGCAAGCCGGCUGUUCUUGUGUUUCUCAAUCUAUGUUUUCAUAUACUCCUAAUGUAUGUAUCAGAAUG